rnacentral:rRNA from 1 species
AAUGAACGCUGGCGGUAUGCCUAACACAUGCAAGUCGAACGGCAGCACAGUAAGAUCUUGCUCUUACUGGUUGCGAGGGGCAGGCGGGUGUGGCAUACAUCGAAAUCUACUUUUUCUUCGGGGAUAACGUAUGGAAACUUACCCUAAUACCGCAUACGACGUUCUGUUGCAAGCAGGGGAUCUGCAGACCUUCCGCUAUUGAAUGAGCCGAUGUCGGAUUAGCUAGUUGCCGGGGUAAAGGCCCACCAAGGCGACGAUUCGUAGCUGGUCUGAGAGGAUGAUCAGCCAGACUGCAACUGAGAUACGGUCCAGACUACUACGGGAGGCAGCAGUGGGGAAUAUUGGACAAUGGGCGGAAGCCUGAUCCAGCGCUACCGCGUGGGUGGAGAAGGGCUUCGGGUUGUAAAGCACUCUUGUUGGGAAAGAAAAGCAGCAGGUUAAUACGUCGCUGUUUUGACGGUAGCUAAAGAAUAAGCACCGGCUAACUUCGUG